rnacentral:misc_RNA from 1 species
AAGUCGUAACAAGGUUUCCGUAGGUGAACCUGCGGAAGGAUCAUUAUCGUAGGGCUUCGGCCCUGUCGAGAUAGAACCCUUGCCUUUUUGAGUACCUUUUCGUUUCCUCGGCAGGCUCGCCUGCCAAUGGGGACCCCAACAAACACUUUGCAGUACCUGUAAACAGUCUGAACAAACUUUUAAAAAUUAAAACUUUCAACAACGGAUCUCUUGGUUCUG